rnacentral:rRNA from 1 species
AUUGAACGCUGGCGGCAGGCCUAACACAUGCAAGUCGAACGAGUGGCGCACGGGUGAAUAAUGUCUGGGAAACUGCCUGAUGGGGGGGGAUAACUACUGGAAACGGUAGCUAAUACUGCAUACCAUCAGAUGUGCCCAGAUGGGAUUAGCUAGUAGGUGGUGUAACGGCUCACCUAGGCGACGAUCCCUAGGUGGUCUGAGAGGAUGACCAGCCACACUGGAACUGAAACACGGUCCAGACGCCUACGGGGAGCAGCAGUGUGGAAUAGUGCACAAUGGGCGCAAGCCUGAUGCAGCCAUGCCGAGUGUAUGAAGAAGGCCUUCGGGUUGUAAAGUACUUUCAGCGGGGAGGCGUUACCCGCAGAAGAAGCACCGGCUAACUCCGUGCCAGCAGCCGCGGUAAUUC